CGAACGGGUGAGUAAUGCGUGACCAACUGCCCCAUGCUCCAGAAUAGCUCUUGGAAACGGGUGGUAAUGCUGGAUGCUCCAACUUGACGCAUGUCUUGUUGGGAAAGUGUUUAGUGGCAUGGGAUGGGGUCGCGUCCUAUCAGCUUGUAGGGCGGGGUAAUGGCCCACCUAGGCUUCACGGGUAGCCGGCCUGAGAGGGCGGACGGCCACAUUGGGACUGAGAUACGGCCCAGACUCCUACGGGAGGCAGCAGUC
rnacentral:rRNA from 1 species